rnacentral:rRNA from 1 species
GUGGGGAAUCUUCCGCAAUGGGCGAAAGUCUGACGGAGCAACGCCGCGUGAGUGAUGAAGGUCUUCGGAUUGUAAAGCUCUGUUAAUCGGGACGAAAGAGCCUAGUGUGAAUAAUGCUAGGAAGUGACGGUACCGGAAUAGAAAGCCACGGCUAACUACGUGCCAGCAGCCGCGGUAAUACGUAGGUGGCAAGCGUUGUCCGGAAUUAUUGGGCGUAAAGCGCGCGCAGGCGGAUCUGCCAGUCUGUCUUAAAAGUUCGGGGCUUAACCCCGUGAUGGGAUGGAAACUACAGAUCUAGAGUAUCGGAGAGGAAAGUGGAAUUCCUAGUGUAGCGGUGAAAUGCGUAGAGAUUAGGAAGAACACCAGUGGCGAAGGCGACUUUCUGGACGAAAACUGACGCUGAGGCGCGAAAGCCAGGGGAGCGAACGGGAUUAGAUACCCUUGUAGUCC